UUUUUUUUAUUUAGCCCAAAAAUAGAUGUAAAUGGGCUUUAGUCCAAAUUUAGCAGAAAAAAAACUUUUAUUUCGCACCACAAAGCCAUUAACAUAAACUAGUGAAGAAAUUAGACAUCAUGUCUGAUCGCACUGUUAAAUAUAUUUAAAUAUAUUUUGAAAACACUUGAUGGUCACGCGCUGUACUGGAGUCACCAUGGAAACGGGGCUCAGCUCAACCGUCAAGCAGCUGAACAGACGCUGUCUCUCAUGGUUGUUUUCACUAAUUUCAGUUUAUAGAAAUGGUCAGUGUCUUCAUGAAAAGUCCGUUAGCAUCUCAACUGUAAUGCUAACUACAAGAGAUUCUUCCAUGCUGAUGGCCGUGCCUGUAUCCAGCUGAAGAACAUUUUUAGACAUUAUGAAACAUAUAACUAAGACUGAAAAUCAUUGAUAAACCACAAGCUCCAACCCCAGUUAAGCAGACCUGAGCAGCUGUUCAAGGAUCAGCAGAAACUCUGCAGAACGGUGGUCCUCCAGCCCAGGACUGGACACCAGUGUUAGUUUUGCACCAACCUAGUGCAGUGCACCUGAACACAUUAAUCAAGGUCUUCAGUUUUGCUAACUAUAAGUCACAGACAGAUGCUGCAGAAAAAAGAGCGAGGCUAAAGCAUUCAAAGUUGAAACAUCUGCCGUGGCUCAUUAAUCCAGAAUUGGGAAGGAGCAGAAGAAGCAGAAGAUCAGAGAUCAGGCAGAGAUCUACUGGUGCCCCUGUGGGAACCCCAUUUACCUAAUGUGUUAGUUUAACCAAAGAUUUUCCUCACUCACCUUUAUGUUGUUCCAAACCAGACUUUUGUUCAUCCUUGAAACAUAAAUGCGGAACUUUUUAAUGAAAUCUGAGAUUAUUUUCUUUAUAUAAAAUAACACAUUCACACAAGCACCAUGAUGCAUCAGUGUUGCAUUGGCGUGAGAGCUGGCGCUUUUGGUGCUUUUGUGAAAAUCCAUUGGGGAGUCAUAAUUUCUGAAUAGAUUAUUUUUGCUGUUGUUAUUGUUUGUUUUUUUUGUUUUUUU